rnacentral:misc_RNA from 1 species
GUGAAUCAUCGAAUUUUUGAACGCAAAUUGCACUCCCUGGUGUUCCGGGGAGUAUGCCUGUUUGAGGGUCGUUAGAACCCACAUUGAAGAGUCGAUUUUUUUUUUAAGGGUGAUUGCGUCAGCAUUGAGCCGUUUUUCAAAUGUUAAUCCAUGUCAAAGUCGCCUGAAAUUUAUCAAUUUGGUACGAUUA